GGGCAGCGCCGCGGAGCUGCUUCCGUCCUCCCGCCCCGCCCGGCUUUAAAGGGACCGCGCCGCCGGUGAUACGGGCUGCGAGCUCGGCCGGGUACAGCCGAGUCAUCCCGGACACCGCGGGUCCCACCGAGCAGUCACAGCUCCGGGACGAGCUGCGGUGGAAGCGCGAAAUCCUGCGGAGUAAGGACUAGAGGCGGCCGGAGAUUUCAAGAGAAGAAAACAAAAUGCUAAUAACAAGGGGACGUCGGGUGGAACCAAAUCCCAACCAGCACACUGGAUGAGGUUCAGAGUGGUGCCACAUCUUCAAUGUACUUCAAAUCUACAUGAGUACACAAGAAAUGAAGAGCAGCAUAUCCUGACUGUAUCACUUGGAGGUGAGCACAGUUCUUUGGGUGAGUUCUGGGAAGAGAUGCAGUGAACAUACUCAGAAAACAACAUACCACUUCUGUGUCUGGGUACUUUGUGGUCACUCAUCUCUUCUGUCAGCUCUAGACUGUGGACCAGUUGCUGAGAAAGAGUUAUCUCCUCUAAAUGUCCGUGUUGAGGGUGGCAGAGCUAUUAUGGCAAAUGGAUACUCAAAAGACUCAAGAGUUCUGCAUGCAUGAGGGGUCUGCUGAGGGUUCCUUUGGGUAUGCUGGACCAAACCCUGGGUGAGCUCAGAAAAGCGCAGAAGCACAGUGUGACGUAUAUCCUCGUGCAGAUGCAUCUGAUGCGUUUUCCUGGAAACUCUGCAUGGCACUUAGUGAGAAGAGUGACCUGAUGUUUGCUCACUGUACAAAAGAACUGCUCUGUUUGCUGAUGUUUGAAGCACUGCUCUUAUUUCCAAAGUGGGGUACUGUUGAAGCUUGGUCAGGAG
ensembl:lncRNA